CAAUAGCGUAUAUUAAAGUUGUUGCGGUUAAAAAGCUCGUAGUUGGAUUUCUGCUGAGAACGACCGGUCCGCCCUUUGGGUGUGUAUCUGGCUCUUUCUUGGCAUCUUCUUGGUGAACGUUGCUGCACUUGACUGUGUGGAGCGCUACCCAGGACUUUUACUUUGAGGAAAUUAGAGUGUUUCAAGCAGGCAUACGCCUUGAAUACAUUAGCAUGGAAUAAUAAGAUAGGACCUCGGUUCUAUUUUGUUGGUUUCUAGAGCUGAGGUAAUGAUUAAUAGGGAUAGUUGGGGGCAUUCGUAUUUAACUGUCAGAGGUGAAAUUCUUGGAUUUUUUAAAGACGAACAAUUGCGAAGGCAUCUACCCAGGAUGUUUUUGUUGA
rnacentral:rRNA from 1 species